rnacentral:rRNA from 1 species
UGUAUCUGAAAUCAAGCAGGAUAACCCGCUGAACUUAAGCAUAUCAAUAAGCGGAGGAGAAGAAAUCAACAGAGAUUGCCUCAGUAACGGCGAGUGAACCGCGCAUAGCCCAACUUGAAAAUCUCCCUUUGGAGAAUUGUAGUCUAUAGAAGCGCCCUCUGUGGCGGUCGGAGCUCAAGUCCUCUGGAAAGGGGCGUCAGAGAGGGUGAGAACCCCGUCGGCUCUCGGCUUAGCUGCUCCACGAGGUGCUUUCCACGAGUCGGGUUGUUUGAGAAUGCAGCCCAAAAUGGGAGGUAAAUCCCUUCUAAGGCUAAAUACUGGCGAGAGACCGAUAGCGAACAAGUACCGUGAGGGAAAGAUGAAAAGAACUUUGAAAAGAGAGUUAAAAAGUGCUUGAAAUUGUUGAGAGGGAAGCGAUUGGAGGCUGCGGGUGCGCCCAGGCUCAUGCGUCUCUAACGAGCCCGCUGUAUGUGCUGGGUGCUGGUCARCAUGGGUUAGGCCGGCGGGAUAAAAGCAGGGGUUUGAUACCCUUGUCUAUGCCGCCGGCUUGACCAAGGCGUGAAUGGCGCUCAGACCUUCGGGAUCUGCGUCAUCAAGAUGCUGGCAGAAGGCUUUCAAUCGGGCCCGUCUUGAAACACGGACCAAGGAGUCUAACAUGUAUGCGAGUUGGUGGGUGGAAAACCCAUGAAGCGCAAGUAACCUGACUGGUGGGAUGGCCUGUGCCUGCACCAUCGACCGACCAUGAGCUUCUGCGAAAGGUUUGAGUGCGAGCAUACCUGUUGGGACCCGAAAGAUGGUGAACUAUCCUGAGUAGGGUGAAGCCAGGGGAAACUCUGGUGGAGGCUCGUAGCGGUUCUGACGUGCAAAUCGAUCGUCAAACUUGGGUAUAGGGGCGAAAGACUAAUCGAACCAUCUAGUAGCUGGUUCCCUCCGAAGUUUCCCUCAGGAUAGCUGGGACAAAUACGCAGUUUUAUUAGGUAAAGCGAAUGAUUAGAGGCAUCGGGGGCGCAAUGCCCUCGACCUAUUCUCAAACUCUAAAUUGAUAAGAACUCUGGCCUUUCUUAAGUGGGGCAUGGAGGUUCAAUGCGUGUCCCAAGUGGGCCAUUUUUGGUAAGCAGAACUGGCGAUGAGGGAUGCUCCUAACGUUGAGUUAAGGUGCCCAACUGCACGCUCAUCAGAAACUACAAAGGGUGUUGGUUCAUACAGACAGCAGGACGGUGGCCAUGGAAGUCGGAACCCGCUAAGGAGUGUGUAACAACUCACCUGCCGAAUGAACUAGCCCCGAAAAUGGAUGGCGCUCAAGCCGUGCGACCGAUACUCGACCAUUGUAGCGAGAGUGAGGCU